rnacentral:rRNA from 1 species
CUACGGGUGGCACCAGUGGGGAAUAUUGCGCAAUGGGGGAAACCCUGACGCAGCCAUGCCGCGUGAGUGAAGAAGGCCCUCGGGUUGUAAAACUCUUUCAACGGUGAAGAUGAUGACUGUAGCCGUAGAAGAAGCUCCGGCUAACUUCGUGCCAGCAGCCGCGGUAAUACGAAGGGAGCUAGCGUUGUUCGGAAUUACUGGGCGUAAAGGGCGCGUAGGCGGACUACCCAGUCAGAGGUGAAAUCCCGGGGCUCAACCCCGGAACUGCCUUUGAUACUGGUGGUCUUGAGUCCGUGAGAGGGUGGUGGAAUACCCAGUGUAGAGGUGAAAUUCGUAGAUAUUGGGUGGAACACCAGUGGCGAAGGCGGCCACCUGGCACGGUACUGACGCUGAGGCGCGAAAGCGUGGGGAGCAAACAGGAUUAGAUACCCUAGUAGUC